GCAGGAGUUUGCGGGCGAGCCUUGCGCGCCUUCCUUGGGUCACGUCGUGGCGAGGCAGAGGUGGGGGGGGAGGAACUUUUCGUCCGCUUGAAGACAAACUUUUUGCCCCAUGUGCUUCUGCCUUGCGGUUUUUGUUUUUUUGCUUUCGCCUAGCGAACUUCCAACAAACAGGCCUUGGGGACGCGCACCUUUUACACGCUCAGUGAACUUGAACUCGCCAAUUUUUACACACACACGAUCCCCCCCCCACACCCCACCCGAUCUUUCACGUCCAUAAAGACGAGUCUCAGUUUCAUGCGCCUCUCUGGUUGUGCGUGCCCCGGUUUCUCCCCUAUCCUCCUGCCCCCCUGGGCGUAUAUGUGUAUAGUGUGCAAAGCCACAAACGACACGUUGCCAGUUUUGUACACUCCGGUCCCAACGUGCAAGGCUUCCUAGACUGUGCAGUGACACACAACCGGCCUGGCCUACUGCCAUCGCUCUCUGCCCCGCGCCAAAGACAACAACAGGACAUGUCCUCAGUCGUACAAAAGACACCUUCAGGUCUGACCUGCCUCGACAGACAGGUGAUCAAGGCGGCGCCGACCACAGUCCCCUUGGCUUAGACGCCACAGCUGCGCACCUCGGAGGAUAGGGAGACGAUCCCGCCCGCGCACCUCGGCUCCAGGCGCGCCGAGAGUAAAAAAAAAAAACCCAACUUAAUACAAACCGCAUAGGCACACACUAAAGUAGUCGCACCCGAUCCCCCUCGUCCAGGAGGCCAAGCAUAAAAUGAACCGCAUCCCGCUGCGUAAAGCCGCGCACCCUUUUGCGCUCCAGCCCCGCGAUCGCCGCACACCCUCUUGGCCGAGGCUGACCGGAGGGAGCCCCAGACGGGCAAUUUCCCGGACGCUCGGCAAGAGACCCUCCUCUACUCUCUCUUAGGGCAUAACACUCGCACACCCCCCGGGGCAUCACUUACCUCGUCUCGUCUUUCCUCUUCCCCACCUCACUCCCUGGUGCCAAGCCGACUCUCCCGCAUACAUACACAACGGUAUCCUACCAGCCUUUUCCUGGGUGCCUGCGCUAAACUCUCUCCCCCACCCCGGUCUGGUCUCACACCUCGGCUGCUGGUUUGCCGCUGCCGCGCUGGCUGCUUGCUCGGGUCUCCAGCGGCGGGGCGAGCGCCCUCGCAGCGGCGGCCAAGUUGGGGAAAGUUGGAGCGCACGCCGCUCCAACUCCAGCGGGUCUCCCCGCGGCGCCACCACCGAGGGACCUCGGGGCUUCCCUUGUUUCCCUUCCCGAUCGGCCCACCCAGAGUUGGCUCCACCACCGCCCGAUGCCGGCUCUUGCAGUACGGGAAGAGCCCAAAGUUUUGCCUGCGGGAGAGCACAGGAGCAACUGCAGCCUUUUGCUUAGGAGCUGAGUGCUGACCGUGGCGAUCACACCGUUGCAGCGCUGUUUCUAUUGAUGGCAUAGAAGGAUCCAAAGCACGGACAGAACUAUGAAAGGCAGCAGCCCAACGUGUGUUGAAUUGAUUCUGGGUGGGAGUGCUGGAAUUGCAUGCCAAAUAUGGCCAGGGAAAAAAAAAUCUGCUGGUUCUGUUAAAAACAAAAGCAAAAAUAUUCCCAGCUCUUUUAGAACAAUGAGCCCAACCAACGUGCAGCUGUUUGCAGUGGCUUAUGAACAUUAAAACCUUCUGAAUUCUGCUCUUAGAAGUUUAAGGUUUCAUUUUUGGUCCCUGUUAUGAGAAUGAGUAAAGUGAACAAUAUUUGCAUUGAAUAAGUCUGAGCUUGUGUCUAUUGAGUGGUAAUGCUUUUAAAAAUCCUGCAUACAUUUUCUUUACAUUUUCAUCUGUGACUAUAAUAAUAGCAUUUUUCUUUGUCUGGUUGUACAAGGCGUCAUGAGAUCUAAUAGCAUUUAUGUACACUGUAGAUGACUGUGGCUGAUAUGUUCAUGCCAUUUAUUUAUGGCAUUUUCUCUAAUUGUCAGAUGCAGAAGACGAAGAAAACAUUUCAAAACAUGUUGGGAUUUUUUAAUGAAUGAAUGGAGGCAAAUCCCAUCUUCUAAGAUUAAAAAUGAGAUCCCACUCCUUGAAAUAGCCAUAGUUCUAUUAGUAGGAAUAUGAAUCUUGAGGACAAUUAACAAAUCUGGACUGCUCAAAAAAUAUGUAGUGGUUUUUUUUUUAAAGAUAAAAAUUAAAAACAGCUAGCAUUAUGCAUUAUCAAAGAGUGUGGAAUUUUUUUCCCCAUUAGCUGUUGUUUAAAAUAUGUCAGCUAGAAUCUCAUUGGAAAAAGGUAUUUCAGCUUUAACAUCUUGCAUUGGCCGCAUUCUUUCCCUUCAGUCUUUGGAUUAGUCAUUGUAUGGGGGGGGGGAUAACUUUUUUUAAAAAGUAAAGUAAACAGCCUCUAACAAGUGAACCUUGACAACCCAGAUUAAGGAAGGCAGUAGAGAUCAAACAAAGCUGCUGCUGGGCUGUUGUUAGGCGCUGCUUCACUGAAAGAUCUGGACUAUUCUAGCAGGCAGCAAGACUUCUAUGUCCACUUAUGCAGAAAUGGACCAUUGCAAAUACUGAUAUUUGUUGUGAAAACCUAAAGAUAGCUUGGGAGAAGGCCUGUUUGUGCUGUUAGGAGUGAAACUUUUAAACUUAGUUAAUUUAAGGAGAGGCAUUUUCUGGUUGGACUGAAUUGUAUACAGUAUUUGUGCUGCAUGGAUCUAUGACUGACUUCCUAAGACACCUGGAAGUGCAGAGAAGAGACCUGAGUUCCCAAGUAUAUGUGGGGCUUGGAGAUGGCAAAGAAAUGAUAAUAAAGUUCAGUUCUUCAGUUACA
rnacentral:lncRNA from 1 species